AGGAUAAGGUUGCGGUUUAAGUU
rnacentral:siRNA from 1 species